UCCGUCAUAGUAUAGUGGCUAGUAUCCCCGCCUGUCACGCGGGAGACCGGGGUUCGAUUCCCCGUGACGGAG
rfam:Fragilariopsis cylindrus CCMP1102 unplaced genomic scaffold FRACYscaffold_26, whole genome shotgun sequence.